rnacentral:rRNA from 1 species
GAUGAACGCUAGCGGCAGGCUUAAUACAUGCAAGUCGUGGGGCAGCAGGUCUGUAGCAAUACAGAUGCUGGCGACCGGCAAACGGGUGCGGAACACGUACACAACCUUCCUUUAAGUGGGGAAUAGCCCGGGGAAACCCGGAUUAAUACCCCGUAACAUAUAGAAGUGGCAUCGCUUUUAUAUUAUAGCAGCAAUGCGCUUGAAGAUGGGUGUGCGGCUGAUUAGAUAGUUGGCGGGGUAACGGCCCACCAAGUCGACGAUCAGUAACUGGUGUGAGAGCACGACCAGUCACACGGGCACUGAGACACGGGCCCGACUCCUACGGGAGGCAGCAGUAAGGAAUAUUGGUCAAUGGACGCAAGUCUGAACCAGCCAUGCCGCGUGGAGGAUGAAGGUCCUCUGGAUUGUAAACUUCUUUUAUUUGGGAAGAAAUCUAUCUUUUCUUGGAUAGUUGACGGUACCAGAUGAAUAAGCACCGGCUAACUCCGUGCCAGCCGCCGCCGUAAGAC